rnacentral:rRNA from 1 species
GUGUCAGCCGCCGCGGUAAUACGUAGGCAGCAAGCGUUGUUCGGAGUUACUGGGCGUAAAGGGUGUGUAGGCGGUUGUUUAAGUUUGGUGUGAAAUCUCCCGGCUCAACUGGGAGGGUGCGCCGAAUACUGAAUGACUAGAGUGCGGGAGAGGAAAGUGGAAUUCCUGGUGUAGCGGUGAAAUGCGUAGAUAUCAGGAGGAACACCGGUGGUGUAGACGGCUUUCUGGACCGUAACUGACGCUGAGACACGAAAGCGUGGGUAGCAAACAGGAUUAGAUACCCCCGUAGUCC